CAUUCCUUGUGAUGCUGAGUAGAGUGAGGGUCCUGUUGUCACUGGACAGCUGCAGCCUGGGACUGACGAGGAGGCUCUGACCAUUUACCCGCCACAGGUCCCAGGUGUUCAGGUAGAUGUCCUCCAGGAGCACAGAUGACCUCAAGGAGCACGGGACCUGGGACGUGACUGCCCUCGACAUUCCUUCUGGUGGCAGACGCAGCUGGUGGACACCAACCAGUAAUUGAAAGCUGCCCAGCCGAGAAUUAGCUUCAUUCAAUUAAUACAAAGAAUGAAAGGGGGACAUGCUGGAGACCCCAAGAAUGUGGGACGUGACCAACUCAGUAUACCUCUGGAGGCUACGUGAGUAAAGAGCAAACUGUCCUGACGAAAGCAGGAUGUCAGGAAACUUACCAACUGCGUCUGCCACCAGAAGGAAUGUCGAGGGCAGUCACGUCCCAGGUCCCGUGCUCCUUGAGGUCAUCUGUGCUCCUGGAGGACAUCUAC